rnacentral:rRNA from 1 species
UACGGAGGGAGCUAGCGUUGUUCGGAAUUACUGGGCGUAAAGCGCACGUAGGCGGCUUUUUAAGUCAGGGGUGAAAUCCCGGGGCUCAACCCCGGAACUGCCCUUGAAACUGCAGUGCUAGAAUCUUGGAGAGGCGAGUGGAAUUCCGAGUGUAGAGGUGAAAUUCGUAGAUAUUCGGAAGAACACCAGUGGCGAAGGCGACUCGCUGGACAAGUAUUGACGCUGAGGUGCGAAAGCGUGGGGAGCAAACAGG